rnacentral:lncRNA from 1 species
UUAUGUAUAUGAUUAAUCUUCCUUGUAUUGAAUAUAGAGUAUUAUAUUUAUAAUAGAAUAAAUAUGAGUUAAGCCUAAAAUAAAAAUAAUGAAAAAUAACAAAUUAGUUAAAGAUAAAAGAUAAAGAUAAUAUAUCUAAAACUCUCUUUCAAGUUAGUGCAUACAAACUGUAUGUACCAAACUUGUUACUAAUAUAAUCGAUAAAGACUUAGUGAAAAU